rnacentral:snRNA from 1 species
GUGUUACUGCGGUAGCACAUAUACUAAAAUUGGAACGACACAGAGAAGAUUAGCAUGGCCCCUACGCAAGGAAGACACGGAAAUUCGUGUAAUAUAGUAAUUAAGA